GAGCCACGGUUCUAGAUCGAACCAUGUGUAUAGUACAGGCAUAACUAUUU
rnacentral:misc_RNA from 1 species